GUGUCAGCCGCCGCGGUAAUACAGAGGGUGCAAGCGUUGUCCGGAAUCACUGGGCGUAAAGGGCGCGUAGGCGGCCUGGUAAGUAGGGGGUGAAAUUCUGCGGCUCAACCGCAGGACGGCCUCCUAAACUGCCGGGCUUGAGCACGGUAGAGGCUGGUGGAAUUCCCGGUGUAGCGGUGGAAUGCGUAGAGAUCGGGAAGAACAUCGGUGGCGAAGGCGGCCAGCUGGGCCGUUGCUGACGCUGAGGCGCGACAGCGUGGGGAGCAAACAGGAUUAGAAACCCCCGUAGUCC
rnacentral:rRNA from 1 species